GAUGAACGCUAGCUACAGGCUUAACACAUGCAAGUCGAGGGGCAGCAUGGAAGAAGCUUGCUUCUUCUGAUGGCGACCGGCGCACGGGUGCGUAACGCGUAUCAAACCUGCCUCAUACUCGGGGAUAGCCUUGCGAAAGUAAGAUUAAUACCCGAUGUUGUUAUGUUACCGCAUGGUGAUAUAACCAAAGAUUUAUCGGUAUGAGAUGGUGAUGCGUCCGAUUAGGUAGUAGGCGGGGUAACGGCCCACCUAGCCUUCGAUCGGUAGGGGUUCUGAGAGGAAGGUCCCCCACACUGGAACUGAGACACGGUCCAGACUCCUACGGGAGGCAGCAGUGAGGAAUAUUGGUCAAUGGACGCAAGUCUGAACCAGCCAAGUAGCGUGCAGGAUGACGGCCCUCUGGGUUGUAAACUGCUUUUAGUUGGGAAUAAAAAAGAGGACGUGUCCUCUAUUGUAUGACCUCAGAAAAAGACCG
rnacentral:rRNA from 2 species